rnacentral:rRNA from 1 species
UACAGAGGUCUCAAGCGUUGUUCGGAUUCAUUGGGCGUAAAGGGUGCGUAGGCGGCGCGGUAAGUCGGGUGUGAAAUCUCGGAGCUUAACUCCGAAACUGCAUUCGAUACUGCCGUGCUUGAGGACUGGAGAGGAGACUGGAAUUUACGGUGUAGCGGUGAAAUGCGUAGAUAUCGUAAGGAAGACCAGUGGCGAAGGCGGGUCUCUGGACAGUUCCUGACGCUGGAAGCAACGAAGGCCCAGGGGAGCAAAACGGG